rnacentral:pre_miRNA from 1 species
AAUAAGUUCAUUUAUAUGUUUAUGUGUGCAAUGUUUGACCGUAUAUCUUAUUUGCUCUUUUUAUGAAUUACUAGUAUUUUUUUGUUGUUAUUAGAUGAUAAGAUAUAAAUAGUACUUUAUGCAUGACUUGUUUUUUAAAAAUUUUCAGAUAAGACGGACGGUCAAAAGUUAGAUAUAGAAAACUACCAAUAAACUUAUU